AUUGAACGCUGGCGGCAGGCCUAACACAUGCAAGUCGAACGAGUGGCGGACGGGUGAGUAAUGUCUGGGAAACUGCCUGAUGGAGGGGGAUAACUACUGGAAACGGUAGCUAAUACCGCAUACCAUCGGAUGUGCCCAGAUGGGAUUAGCUAGUAGGUGGGGUAACGGCUCACCUAGGCGACGCUCCCUAGCUGGUCUGAGAGGAUGACCAGCCACACUGGAACUGAGACACGGUCCAGACUCCUACGGGAGUCAGCAGUGGGGAAUAUUGCACAAGGGGAGCAAGCCUGAUGCAGCCAUGCCGCGGGUGUGAAGAAGGCCUUCGGGUUGUAAAGCACUUUCAGCGAGGAGGCGUUACUCGCAGAAGAAGCACCGGCUAACUCCGUGCCAGCAGCCGCGGUAAUAC
rnacentral:rRNA from 1 species